AUGUCUCUUAAAAUAUUUGCAUUUGACUGUGAAGUGAUUUAGAGAAAUUCCCUGAUAUUUAAUAUUCUAUUUCUUUUUUAUUCUCAAGUUCAGAAAGAAGUUUCCUAUUAUACCAAAUGCAUAGCCAUGCAGGAAAGGAGAGACUUGUCGCUAGAAAGCGACAGUACACCAUUGAAUCUUUGGGACGAGAAUCCUCAUAAGAAUGGGACCAAUGAAUGGCACUGACAUGAAGCUGAAAGAAGUUUUCUCAUUUGAAAAAUGGAAAAAAGCUCCUCCUUUAUCAGAUAUUUUAAGCAAUUUUGAAGCCCCUUUGGAACACAUCAGAUUAUACCUACAAAAGGAAAUAAGUUAUCAAAAUACAAAAAUAGUAGUCCAGUGCUUAGCAUGGUGCCUGGCACAUACAAAAGUGAUCAUGCUCAACUGGCAAGAUAAAGGUAAAAAUAUAUGGGUGAAAAAUAAUUUUCUCAACUUCUAUGCAUCCUAAAAAUACAUUUAAUUAUAUAAAUCCAUAAGAUGUAUAACUACAAGGAUAAAUUGGCACAUUUUUCAUUAUAUUCAAAAAUACUAACACAACUGUCAUAGUUAAAAAGUCAAAAGACCAAUAAAAGACUAAAAAAUCAUAUACAAAUUAAUAAGUAUAAUUGAUAAGCUUGAUUUACUACACAUAGGUAUAAACACAUGUAACAAUUAAACAACAUACUUUUCCUCAGUGUAUACAAAACUUUUCCCAGAGUUACAUGAACUAAAGUAUAGAAGAAUUUGUAUUAUAGAAAUGAUUGAUUAUGUUCACAAUACAAUUACAUUUUAUAUCAAUAACAACAACAAAGAUAAAGUUUCAAUAUAUUCAGAACUAUAAAAAUACAGUAAUAUAUGGGUCAAAUAGGAAAUCGUAGGACUUCUUUAUCAUUUUAAAUCAAAAUAUUUUAAUUAAAAUAUUUUAGAAAUACCAAAAAUAACGACUACCAGCAUAUUACAACUUUGUAAUGCAGAUAAAUUAGAAAUUGAAAACUAUAUAGAGAUGAAAAUGGCAGAAAAGGAUAAAGGGUAAAAUUACAUUGAGCUAAUCAGCUGAAGAUACAUCCAAAAAUGUAAAAUAAUUGAUAUGGUGAUAAUAAGAGCAGAAUUUAAUGAAGUAGAAAGCAAAGAACAAGAAGAAAUUAUUAAUCAGGGCAAAAAUAAGGUGAUUUGUAAAAGUAUAGUAAAAAUUUUAAACUUCUAACAAUAAUAAUUAUACUUCCCCAUCACAUUUAUAUUAGCCUUAGGCAUGCAAUUUGCUUUAGUUGAUGAAAUAAGUAAAGUAACAGGUAGAAACUUCAAAAGUCAUGAUUAUUAUUUUUUCUUUCAUAAAACCAAUAAUCUUCAAGAGAAGCUUUUCUUUACUUUGCCAUUUGUCAACAAAGAAAAAUAUUUUUUUCAUUCUUUUUGUUUCUCUUCAACUUUUAUUUAAGUUCAGGG